UCUCUCUCUGCUGCCCAGGCUGGAGUGCAGUGGGAUGAUCUCGGCUCAUUGAAACCUCCACCUCCAGGUUCAAGCGAUACUCCUGCCUCAGGCUCCCGAGUAGCUGGGACUACAAGUGUGCACCACGAUGCCCAGGCUGCAGGAAACUGAGUGGCCCAGUAGAAAAGAACUGAGAUUCUCCAACUUGCAGCCAGCACAACUGCCAAAUAUAUGAGUAAUUUUGGAUCUUACUGUU
rnacentral:lncRNA from 1 species